UCAAAAACAUGUCCUUAAGUUUUACUAUGUUUAAGGUUUGGCCUGCCCAAUGAAUAUUGUUUUAAUGGCCGCGGUAUUUUAACCGUGCUAAGGUAGCAUAAUCAUUUGUCUUUUAAUUGAAGGCUUGUAUGAAGGGUCGGACGAGGAAUUAGCUUUCUUUAAUUUAAAAUAAAAUGAAAUUAAUUUUUUAGUUAAAAAGCUGAAAUUUUUUUAUGGGACGAGAAGACCCUGUAGAUUUUUAUAUUUAUAUUUAAUGUUUAAAUUUGGUUAAUAUUAAUUUUAUUAUUAAAAUAUGUAUUUGGUUGGGGUGACUGUAGAAUUAAAAUAACUUCUAUUAAAUUAUAUCAUAAAUUAAUGUAUUGUUGAUCCAUUAUUAGUGAAAAUAAGAUUAAAUUACCUCAGGGAUAACAGCGUAAUUUUUUCGGAGAGUUCUUAUCAAUGAAGAAGUUUGCGACCUC
rnacentral:rRNA from 1 species